AAGCACUUGUGUUUGCAUGGCUGUGUUUCGGUUUGAACGGUGGUAUAUGGCGUGAAUUUACAGGGUACAGAGGAAUAACACCCGAGUCCUCAGGAAUGGCAACGCAUGGGGGGUAUCAUGGGCGAAACAGUAUACUCUGUUAUGUCCAUGGUACUGCUCAUGUCUAUGGGCGACGGUUACCACUUACCAUCAGGUGGGUCGUCAGCUUGUUUGCCAUUCUAAGUUGUAUAAAACACAAAAAAAUUUAGAAAAAAGUCAGUAAUUUUAAAAAUAACUAGGCUUAUAUGUCUAGGAAACUGUUAUUGUAUUGCAUUUUAUAGAUUAUAAAUGAAAAUCAAAUAUUAUUAUUUUAUUUUUUUCGUUUAAAUAACCAACGUUAUCAAUAAUGUGUGAAUUUAGGUUGUGUGUUCCAAUAUAGAAAAUAAAGAGGACUAUAUUCAAGUUAUAUAA